rnacentral:rRNA from 1 species
GACGAACGCUGGCGGCGUGCUUAACACAUGCAAGUCGAACGAAGAGCGAUGGAAUCUUGCUUCUAUCAAUCUUAGUGGCGAACGGGUGAGUAACGCGUAAUCAACCUGCCCUUCAGAGGGGGACAACAGUUGGAAACGACUGCUAAUACCGCAUACGAUCUAAUCUCGGCAUCGAGGAUAGAUGAAAGGUGGCCUCUACAUGUAAGCUAUCACUGAAGGAGGGGAUUGCGUCUGAAUAGCUAGGUGGAGGGGUAAAGGCCCACCAAGGCGAUGAUCAGUAGACGGUGUGAGAGGAUGAACGCCCACAUUGGGACUGAGACACGGCCCAGACUCCUACGGGAGGCAGCAGUGGGGAAUCUUCCGCAAUGGACGAAAGUCUGACGGAGCAACGCCGCGUGAGUGAUGACGGCCUUCGGGUUGUAAAGCUCUGUUAAUCGGGACGAAAGGCCUUCUUGCGAAUAGUGAGAAGGAUUGACGGUACCGGAAUAGAAAGCCACGGCUAACUACGU